AACGAACGCUGGCGGCGUGCCUAACACAUGCAAGUCGAACGAGAAAGGGGCUUCGGCUCCGAGUAAAGUGGCGCACGGGUGAGUAACACGUGGGUAACCUGCCUCUAAGAUUGGGAUAACUCGUCGAAAGAUGAGCUAAUACCGAAUAAGACCACAGUUCCCGCGGGAACAGGGGUCAAAGGUAGCCUCUGCUUGCAAGCUAUCACUUAGAGAUGGGCCUGCGCACCAUUAGCUAGUUGGUAGGGUAACGGCCUACCAAGGCAAAGAUGGUUAGCUGGUCUGAGAGGAUGAUCAGCCACACUGGAACUGAGACACGGUCCAGACUCCUACGGGAGGCAGCAGUGGGGAAUAUUGCGCAAUGGGCGAAAGCUUGACGCAGCAACGCUGCGUGAGUGAUGAAGGCCUUCGGGUCGUAAAGCUCUGUCGGGAGGAACGAAUGCUCCUGAGGUUAACAGCCUCGGGAGGUGACGGUACCUUCAAAGGAAGCACCGGCUAACUCUGUG
rnacentral:rRNA from 1 species